rnacentral:misc_RNA from 1 species
UCUCUUUCUUCAGAUGAUGAUCCCAAGCCUUCAGGCGUUCUGUUCAUUAAAUUCCAAAAGCAUUUAAGAAACAGAUCUGUUUCUUAAACAUAUCUUUUGUUUGUCCCGAGGAAGGUUUUUACCAAUUCACUCCUGAGGG